GGAAGGAUCAUUAACAAAAAAUGAACUAAUAACUAACUGAACUAUGUAUAGCAUGAAUAUUACAUUCUGCUAUAAUAUAUAAACCAUAUUAUGCUAAAACCAUAAACUAAUUAAUGGUUGAUAAAACUCUAAAUUUUCAACGAUGGAUGUCUUGGCUCCCAUAUCGAUGAAGAACGCAGCAAGAAUGCGAUAUGCAAUGUGAAUUGCAGAACCAUGAAUCAUCAGAUCUUUGAACGCAACUCGCGCUAGAUCAAACUAGCAUACUUGUUUCAGUGUGCCCAAACACAUAACAUAAUCUAAAUGUGAGAGAAUAUCUCUCAUGAAAUACAUGCUCCUGCAGCAGUCACAUUUAUUUGUGAGCUACAGUGUAGAAUAUAUAACUUUAUUUGCACCUGAAAUCAAGUAAGAUAACCCGCUGGACUUAAGCAUAUUACUAAGCGGAGGAAAAGAAAUUAACUAAGAUUGCAUUAGUAAGGGCGACUGAACCUGCAAAAGCUCAAAAUUAGAAUCGAAAAUUCAAAGAAUCUUCGAAUUGUAAUCAGGACUACCUAAAUACGAAAAAUUGUUCAAUUAUGUCGAAACAUAAACCAAAGAGGGUGAAAGUCCCGUACAACUUUUUUUCGCUUAAGGUAUUUCCCAAAAGAGUCGGGUUGCUUGGAACUGCAGCCCUAAGAGGGAGAUAUGAAUCUUCCAAAGCUAAAUAAAGAUGGGAGACCGAUAGCAAACAAGUACUGUGAAGGAAAGAUGAAAAGGACUUUGAAAAGAGAGUGAAAAGAUCUGAAAUCGUUGAUAAGGAAGCUGUAAAAACUGACGAUCGUACUGAAAGAUCACAUAUUCAAAAAAUAUGGAAGUCUUCUCAUAACGAUGGGCAAAAUAAAGCUAAAUAUAUCAAAAAAGGAUCAAACCUAUUAAGAUAUAAUUAACUUAAGGGACUAUUGUGAUUUUGCCAAAAUGGUUUUUACUGUCCCGUCUUGAAACACGGACCAAGGAGUCUAACAUAUAUGCAAGUGUUCGAGUGAAAAAACUCAUACGCAAAAUGAAAGUAAAAGAUGUACAACGAAAGUAACAACAUCGACCGACCUAGUAAGAAAGGUUUGAGUAAUAGCAUAUCUGUUAGGACCCGAAAGAUGGUGAACUAUGCCUGAGUAGGGUGAAGUCAGGGGAAACCCUGAUGGAGGCUCGUAGCGUUGUUGACGUGCAAAUCACUCGUCAAACUUGGGUAUAGGGGCGAAAGACUAAUCGAACCAUCUAGUAGCUGGUUCCCUC
rnacentral:misc_RNA from 1 species